rnacentral:lncRNA from 1 species
UUCUUUAUUAGUCUUGCUAGCGGUCUAUCAGAUUUGUUGAUCUUUUCAAAAAACCAGCUCCUGGAUUCAUUGAUUUUUUUGAAGGGGUUUUUGUGUCUCUAAAAAAAGAAUUCAAACUUUGGCAAGGAUUCUCCUUAGUUUCCAUAGGGAGGAAUGCUUAAUGCCAGUCUUGGCUCCCCUGCCAGAAGGGGAAAGAAUGGAAGAUUAAUGGAGCCAAGUUGUUGAAUAGGUAGAAAGGGUGUGGCUCUGGGCACAGGCAUGAACAGGUCACCUUCUGGGACAGAGGAGCAAUGAAGGGAUUAGCUGCAGGUGCAGACAUGUUUGCAAAUGGGACAAAACAAAGUUCUGUGUGAUGGCUUUGUUUUCUUGGUAAAUUGCAAA